CGCAGCGUUGAUACAUGAGGCCCCUGGUGUUUACAUUGUGAACUGCAUGUUUAAUGUUGUGUUUCAUGUGAACACACGGUUAAUGGGUUCUCUCAUUGGCAGCGUGUUCAGUCCUGUUUUCUUGUGAGCACUUGGCUUUUGUUGUCUUUGUGUCAUGUGCUCUCCUGUUUAUUGUCUAGUCCAACCCUCUUUGUUAAACUUUUAUCAGUUUAUUAUGUUCACCUGUAUGCUUUUUAUUGUAUUGUGCUUAUAGUCUCCUCAUGUCUGCUGACCUGUGCCAGUUAGUCAUACGUUGUUCCUCUCUAGUUUCCAGUCCUGCCUCAUCUAGUCAUGUCCAGCCCUGAUCUCAGCCAGACUGCCCAGUCAAGCCUGCCUCACCUUUAACCCACCUAGAGGUGACUUAACCCGUUGCAGCCCAUCCAGCUACAACCCUGGCUGCAGCAUCACCCACUGAAGACACUGCAGUACUCCUAGAGGCCACAGAGUGCAGCUCAGUGCCUGUGCCACCUAGGCUCAUAGCCCUCCCGGCCCCAGCCCGGUUCCUUGCCCUGCUGGCCCCAGCCUGCUUCCUUGCCACGCUGGAAGCCAGCUCCCUACCUACAGACCAGCUCUUGCUUACACCACUAGGACACUUACUGCCCUGCCAGCCCCAGUAGUCGUUAGUUGUUCAUUUUGGUUAUGUAUUUAUAUUAUACUUGUAUCUGUUUGAUUAAUAUAAAUUUUUUUAUCUGCA